rnacentral:rRNA from 1 species
UAGGGAAUCUUCGGCAAUGGACGAAAGUCUGACCGAGCAACGCCGCGUGAGUGAAGAAGGUUUUCGGAUCGUAAAACUCUGUUGUUAGAGAAGAACAAGGACGUUAGUAACUGAACGUCCCCUGACGGUAUCUAACCAGAAAGCCACGGCUAACUACGUGCCAGCAGCCGCGGUAAUACGUAGGUGGCAAGCGUUGUCCGGAUUUAUUGGGCGUAAAGCGAGCGCAGGCGGUUUCUUAAGUCUGAUGUGAAAGCCCCCGGCUCAACCGGGGAGGGUCAUUGGAAACUGGGAGACUUGAGUGCAGAAGAGGAGAGUGGAAUUCCAUGUGUAGCGGUGAAAUGCGUAGAUAUAUGGAGGAACACCAGUGGCGAAGGCGGAUCUCUGGUCUGUAACUGACGCUGAGGCUCGAAAGCGUGGGGAGCAAACAGG